AUUGAACGCUGGCGGCAGGCCUAACACAUGCAAGUCGAGCGAGCGGCGGACGGGUGAGUAAUGUCUGGGAAACUGCCUGAUGGAGGGGGAUAACUACUGGAAACGGUAGCUAAUACCGCAUACCAUCAGAUGUGCCCAGAUGGGAUUAGCUAGUAGGUGGGGUAAUGGCUCACCUAGGCGUCUAUCCUUAGCUGGUCUGAGAGGAUGAACAGACACACUGGAACGAGCACACGGUCCAGCCUCCGACGGGAGGCAGCAGUGGGGAAUAUUGCACAAGGGGCGCAAGCCUGAUGCAGCCAUUCCGCGUGUGUGAAGAAGGCCUUCGGGUUGUAAAGCACUUUCAGCGGGGAGGCGUUACCCGCAGAAGAAGCACCGGCUAACUCCGCGCCAGCCGCCGCGGUAAUAC
rnacentral:rRNA from 1 species